rnacentral:lncRNA from 1 species
GGGUCAGAAGGAUAUUAAAGAACUACAUUGGCAUUCUCAGAUUCCUGGUGUUGUAGUCAGCACGGCUGAGGAUGGAUUCAAUGUCUUCAAAACGAUAAGUGUUUGAACUAUAAUGAUUCGUUUUUGUUUAUAACUACCACAUUAGAUAAAAUGUCAGACAUGAAUUGUUCCCAGGACUAUUGUCAGUAUAGAUCGCGCUAUUCUAGCUAUGUACAACCCACUAGUGGCAUUGAAAGGUGGGACACUUAGAUCGGAAGGUUAUUUUUGUAAACAAUAGAUGAUUAAACUAUAGACUAAAUUUUGAUCUAGGCAAGAAGAACAAAAUCCAUCACCACAGCUAGAAAGGGCAUGUUAAAAUUAGUAAAAUUGCAAACUUUGGCCGCCAAAUGAUGUAAAAUGCAGAAAAUAUAGCCAUGCGAAAGUUGAAAAUUUUGUAUUAAUUUGUAUUACGCCCGGAAAAAUGCACCACAUUUGGGCCGAAAGUGGUGCAUUUUCCCGCGCGUAAUACAAAAUUUUCAAAUUUUGCAAGGUUAUAUUUUCCGCAUUUUACAACAUUUCGUAACCAAACUUUGCAAUUUUACUAAUUGUAACAUGCUCUUUCUAACUGUGGUGAUGGAUUUUGGUCUUCUUGCCUAGAUCAAAAUUUAGUCCAUAGCUGAAAUAAUCUAUUGCAAAGAUAACAUAUGAAACCCCCAUCUCUCAUUUCAAUGUUGCUGUGUGUGCUGGGAGAGUUAUCAGCAACGCAAUACAACACAAAACUAUACUUCAAAUAAAAUGUCAAUUUUAGUUUAAUAACAUUGAGGGGGGGAGGGGGAUUAUGUUACAAUUUGAGCCUAACCCGUCCACGUAUUUUGUCACUGAUUUUAGUUCGUCCGGACAGUUCAUAUUGUGUUUAUACUAGGUAGUCUGGAAGUGUGAUGCGUUUCCACAGAUUAUGCGUUUCAACGUAAAAAUCUCACAUCUCGUAGCAAGUCUGCCAACAAGCCGUCAACAAGUUGUGUUCGCACUGCUUGUCCCAACUUCGGAACAAGCUGUUAACAACUUGUAACAACCUAGUUGAUAUUAUCAGACUUGUUGCAAAGUUGUUCCAACAAUUCUGAUACAGUCGUGAUAUAUAUGUAACAAUGUUGUUACAACAUUGUGUUGUCAAUCUUGUAUAACAUUCUUGUUAUAUCAUGGCUGUAUCAGACUUGUCAGAACAACCUUGUAACAAGUCCAAUAGCUUCUAAUAAUGCCAUCAAGCUUGUCACAAGUUGUUAACAGCUUGUUCAAAACUCGUUGCAACUAAGGAACAAGCAGUGCGAACACAACUUGUCAACAGCUUGUGAACAGAUUUGUAACAACUUGUUUGCGGACCUGCAACAACUUGUACAACGUUUUUACGUCUGAAGUAUAAGUCAUCAAAUCGAGCCAAUAUGUAAAUAUUUUAAAAAUAUGAAAAGUAAACACUCAUUGGGAACUCUCUUAGCUGCCAGAUUUUUAGCACUUGCGUAAGAAUUAACUAAAUAUUUAUUCACUUGAAAGUGGUCUGCCCACUCGCGUUAUUUCGUCAAAAUUUAAUCACGGCGUUAUGCUAGAAUAUAUAAAAUCAAUACAACUUUUCCAACAUGAAUAGGAAAUACGUUUUAAGUACCGGUAGUAUUAUUUACAUAUUUCAUUAUUGACAGCGGUCAAUUCUGAUUUAUAUAAACGAAAACGAGGGAUGCAUUGGGGAUGACCCUUAUACUGGACCUCUGGGGAGAAUAGUUUAGUUUAGAACUGAUAGAGCUAUAUCCAGUAUAAAUAAGGUUAGUUUAGUGUAGGUUUCCUCCUGCAUGUAGUAACACCGGAUCAAUAAGAGAUGAUCCUUACUUACUGGACCUCUGGAGAGAACAGUUUAGAACUGAUAGAGCUAUCCAGUAUAAAUAAAGUUAGUUUAGUUUAGGUUUCCUCCUGUAGUAACACUGGAUCAAUAAGAGAUGAUCCUUACUUACUUACUGGACCUCUGGAGAG